UGGUGGGGAUUUGCUUUGAGUUCCCAUGAAGCCUAGGUUGUUCUAGUCCUACUGCUGUAACCUCCUUAGUGCUCAGAUUACAGGUAUAAGCUGCUGAUUGCCAGAUCUUAACUUCUGAGGGAAGUAUGUAGAAAUAGCACCACACAGUGGAAGGGCAGUUUCUCCUGAGAACCAGCUUUUUAAUGCAUCAGGAGAGCUGGGAAAGGAUGCUUCUUCACUCAGCUGAUGGAGCCCAUCCUCCUGUCUGCUCUUUUCUUUAUGUUACUUGGGAAUGUGUUUACUGUCGCCAUCUCCAUGUUAGUCAUAAGAUGCUAUGCCUUGAGAUGGUGAGCUUCUUGCCACUGUUGACAGCGGAGAGGGGGAUUUGUAGAACCUCGUGUCUUAGUGAAAACAUCGGAACAAUGGUUCUCAAAGUGGGGUCCUCGGAGCAGCAAUACAAGCAUGUCUGGGAGCUUGUCAGAGAGGUAGACCCUCUCCACUGGCUUGCACACUGAAGUUAUAUUGCCUCGUACUCUGGGACUCUAGGUAGUUCCAGGGCCUUUCUAUAUGGUCUCAAUUUUGAGUUCUAGAGAAAAGUCUGGGGUGGCGUUUACAGCUACCAGCCUUGCAACAGCUGUGUAUAACAGGAUCUGAACUUGAAGAAGAGGAACCGAUAAUCUCAAGAUAGAUGUGAAGUAGCUAAAUAACAAAUAGAUGGAGACUGAAGAGAGAAGGGUACAGAGAAAGGAAGUACAGGCGACUGCUGUUUAAGCUCCUUGUAGAGGCUUUGUGACCCAAGGUUUCUGAAUGGCAACCACUGGAUAUGCAUGUUCUAUGCAGUUCAACAAAUUCCAGAAGAUUACAGCAGAGAAAAGUAGUUUGUAAAAUAAACUUACCCGGCAUAGUGAAGUAUGUUGCAGUGUGGGAUCUAUACAGCCUGUAGACAAGCAGCUUUUGGGCAAGAAGGACCAAGCAGUUUCAGGAAUCUCAUCAUAACUGCAGAGGAAAUCCAAGCUUCAGGAGUGGAGCUUGGGCUCUGAAGUGAGCUGCCUAGGUUCAUAUGCAGGUUCCAAGUGAUGACCUGUAUGAAAAUCACUCUCCCCCCAAUCUUUUAUAUGAGGUUAGUAAUAGUACCCACCCCCAAGAACUGUUCUUGACAAUUUUGAGGGGAUAUUGGAUUUAGUAAUGAUUAAAUGAGAUAUGUGAAAGCAGUUCUCAGCAUAUUGCCUAGGUGUUUCCUUCCUUUCUUCCCUCCUUCCUUCCUUCCUUUUUCUUUCUGUCUUCUCUUUCUUUCUUUCAUUUUUGUUUGUUCAUUUUGAAAUUGAUGAGUGUUUCCUUGCUUUAGGACAUGUGAUAGCUAUAAAUGUGUGAGGUUAACAAUGAGACUCUUUUUGCAAUAUUCUCAGUGAAUGUUGUUUAAAUCAUAAAAAUAGUUUUUUAUUUUACAAAAUUUAAAAACAUGGGAUUUUCUAGAGGAGAAAAUAAUCCCAUCCCUACCAGUCUUUUGUUUAUAUUUAUUUAUAGUAGGUGUGAACUUGAAUGUGUGGAAGUAAGAGUGUGUAGGAGUUGGUUCUCUCCUUUAAGGAUGUAGGCUCCAAGAUGGAACUUGGGUUAUCAAGGUAACCUGCAUGACAGUGCUCACUUAUAAGCAUAACUUUUUUCUUUUUAAAGUCUGAGUUGAAGUCAGGUUUUCUCUCUUCUAGCUAACUGAUUAUUCUCUGUAAUACAACAUGAAUGAAUAUUUGCUUAUUAGCAGCACUGAAAAUUUCUUUACUAACUGUCAAAGACCAAUACUUGUAGAAGGAAUGAAUAAAUAGGAUAGUCAAGAAAUUGUCUUUUUAUUUUGUCAACUAACAGUCAACUCUUACGGUCUGGAAUCAAAGACAUAGUAUUGUUAAUUUUUAAUGUAUUUUAAUGUUUUAUUUAUAUUUCUGGAAAUAUAAUGCACAUAGAAUGAACAAAUCUUGUUCCUGUCAUAACUCAUACACCUUUGCUCUCCAUCCUUCAAGAUGUAGGACAGUUCUAUUGCCUAGAAAAUUCCUUUGUACCCACCUUCACCCUGUGCGGUUAACUUUUCCCAUCACUGCAACACAACACUCAACAAAAAGGGACUUUAAAACAGGAAGCGUUUAUUUUAACUCGGAGUUCCAGCAGGAACUUGAGGCAGCCAGUCACCUUGCAUCUGCAGUGGAGAGAAAGAUGAAUUGCUAGUACUAACUUGGCUUUCUUCUUAUGUUCCAGGAACUCAUUCAGGGAAUGCUGCUUCCUGCUGUAAGGCUAUCUUCUCACUUUACUGAAGCUAAUUUAGAAAAUUCACCACAGAUAUAACUAGGAGCUUGCCUCUUCAGUGAUUCUGGGUCCUGUCAAGUUGACUCGAUUAUCCACAACAUAUAUUGUAUCAGUUACUUUCCUUUCAUGUUGAUAAAACACCCUGAGCAAGCCAUUCUCUAAAAUAAAAGGGUUAAA